rnacentral:misc_RNA from 1 species
AAAAAAAAAAAAAAAAACUACCAAACAAAUCAGAACAGAGCUCCACAGACCCAUGAAAAUGGCGGGUCUUACUUCUUGCCGAAUGGUUUGUUUAGGUAGUAUACGUGUUCCCUUGAUGUUGCAUUAAUAUGGACAAAGAUGAUGAACUUGUCCUAAUAAGGUUAACAUUCGAUAGACCCACUGUUCAGGCAGUACUGAUCCUAUUAACAAAGGAACUAUGCUUCGGGUGACCCCCCCUAAACAAAGUGUGCCUGAGAGAUGCAUAAACUUUGGUAGGGAAAUUUGAGGACAUCUUCCAUCAAUCUUCCAAAUGCAAUAGUUGGUUCAACUCGUGAGAGUGAGUGUGAUCCGUGAUUGAAUGUGACAUGAAGCUGCUAGUGCUUUGAGUAGAAAUAUGGCAGUCUCAACAAUCAAGGCUCAAGGGUUUCUUUUCUUAUCCUCGAAACCAGGGAAGCAGAGGGACCUUUUCUUUAAAUAGCCCUUGCUGCUUUUGGCAUGCAUUUUGAUUUCUUUCGAGGGGACCUUAUCUUUGGG